rnacentral:rRNA from 1 species
AUGCAAAGCAAAAUGCGAUCUGCUUCAACACCCCUGCUCUACCUCUACCUUUGCCUCCUCGUCUUGCCGUCAUGGCUCCUUCUCUUGCAACGAGCGCACGCAGCAGCGCGUCAUGGUGGCAUAUCACUCAUGUCUCAACAGAAGGCCCUCCUCCACUGGAAAUCAACACUUGCAAACCCAGCAGCGGAGAUGAGCUCCUGGCGGGACACCGCCAGCAGCAGCCCGUGCAACUGGACGGGGAUCAUGUGCAUGGCCGUUCGCCAUGGCCGCAUCAUGCCCUGGGUCGUGACCAGCAUCUCCCUGCCAGAUGCUGGCAUCCAUGGCAAGCUUGGUGAGCUCAACUUCACAGCUCUCCCAUUCCUCACAUAUAUCGAUCUAGGCACAAUAGUCUCCAUGGUCCAAUACCGCCUAAUAUCAGCUCGCUAUCAUCCCUCUCCACCCUUGACCUUAGCAUCAAUCAGCUCAGAGGCCACAUACCACACGAGAUCGGCCAACUGGCUAGCCUCACCAUACUUGACAUCUCCUUCAAUAACCUAA